rnacentral:lncRNA from 1 species
CUUGAAAACAUCCAUCAGUGGCGGCUUUCUUCGAUUUCGAUUUGGCAGGAACUAAACCUUUUAGGUUAUCACAAACUUCCCCAAUCGACUCAUACAGGGUUGCCAGUAGAAGGCGUCCUAAGGCAAAAUGGCAUCCUUCAUGUAUUUGCACAGCCAUGGGUAUAAAUUUCCUAGCAAUUUGGAGAGAUCGAGAGCAAAAUACAUAAUGGGAUAGCCAUAGAGUGAGAAAGGCCACAUGUUCCUCAUCUGAGACUUCUUCAUUCUCAGGUCCUGAAUGUUUGAGGAUAAAGGCAGAAAAGGCGUUUUCUUUGUAGUUUAGAGUGAUGUUAUCACUAACAUCAUCAGGGCUGUAAGUUUUGCCAGUGGGUCUUAACCCUGUG